rnacentral:rRNA from 1 species
GGAAUGGAUCAUGGCUGAAAUCUACAUGGCCCCUGGAUUGGACUGCGGCCGAUCAGGCUGUUGGUGAGGUAAUGGCCCACCAAACCUGUAACCGGUACGGGCUCUGAGAGGAGGAGCCCGGAGAUGGGCACUGAGACAAGGGCCCAGGCCCUAUGGGGCGCAGCAGGCGCGAAACCUCUGCAAUAGGCGAAAGCUUGACAGGGUUACUCUGAGUGAUGCCCGUUAAGGGCAUCUUUUGGCACUUCUAAAAAUAGUGUAGAAUAAGGGGUGGGCAAGUCUGGUGUCAGCCGCCGCGGUAAUACCAGCACCCCGAGUGGUCGGGACGAUNAUUGGGCCUAAAGCAUCCGUAGCCGGUUCUGCAAGUCUUCCGUUAAAUCCACCUGCUCAACAGAUGGGCCGCGGGGGAUACUACAGGGCUAGGAGGCGGGAGAGGCAAGCGGUACUCGGUGGGUAGGGGUAAAAUCCUCUGAUCCACCGAGGACCACCAGUGGCGAAGGCGGCUUGCCAGAACGCGCUCGACGGUGAGGGAUGAAAGCUGGGGGAGCAAACCGGAUUAGAUACCCGGGUAGUCCCAGCUGUAAACGAUGCA